rnacentral:tRNA from 1 species
GGGGGCGUAGUAUAACCUGGCUAGAAUAACCGGCUCCAACCCGGUUGAUUGGAGUUCGAAUCUCCACGUCCCCA